AACAGAUGGAGCGCCUUCCAUCAAGGACCUCAAUGCACCUUAGAAACAUCAUGAGUCAUCAAAGCCCUUCUGUAAUGGAGGUAAAUAUCCAUGGCCACAAUUUUACAGUUAAAGAAGCACGAAGAAGCUGGGAAUGAGACAACCAGGUGAAAUGUGGACCCUGGAGAAACUCCAACCAGCCUGCCCACUGAAGUGGACCCUCAGGUAGUUGGUACCCUUUGCAGCGGGGAGAAGCUUGGCCCCUCCUCUUCCUGUGUGGAAGCUGGGAUUCAAAUGGCAGGAGGUAAGUGCUCUAACAGGGGACUCUGGCCUUGCAGAGGAUCCCUGUUUCCCCUUUUUUCUCCCUCUUUCACCCAAUAAAACCAUGCUUUACCCACCCUUUAAACCAUUUGCAAGCCUAAAUUUUUGUGGCUGUGGGACAGACAGGAACUCUGUCUUUAGCUGAACUAAGGAAAAGUCCUGCAACAGCAUGAUGCUGGUGUGUCCAGAAUUGGUUCCUGCCGGUGGGAUCGUGGUCUCACUGACUUCAAGAACGAAGCCGCAGACCUUGGCGGUGAGUGUUAUAGCUCUUAAAGAUGGCAUGGACCCAAAGAGUGAGUGGUAGCAAGGUUUAUUGUGAAGUGUGAAAGGACAAAACUUCUACGGCAUGGAAGGGGACCCGAGCAGGUUGCUGCUUCUGGCUGGGGUGGCCAACUUUUAUUCCCUUAUUGUCCCCUUCCAUGUUCCAUUUCUGUCCUAUCACAGUGCCCUUUUUUCAAUCCUCCCCGCAAUUGGCUACUUUUAUAAUCCUGCUUAUUGGUGCAUUUUACAGAGUGCUGAUUGGUGUGUUUUACAAUCCUCGUGUAAGACAGGAAAGUUCCCCAAAUCCCCACACAACCCAAGAAGUCCAGCUGGCCUCACCUCUCACUGACAUCUUCUCGGGAGCCCUCAAGAAGCUUUCAUGGUGGAAGGCAAAGGGGAAGCCAGCACGUCUUCCACGGCCAGAGCCGGAGCAAGAGAGAGACAGAGGAGAUGCCCCACACUAUUUAAAUGAACAGAUCUCAUGAGAACUCACUCACUAUCACAAGAACAUCAGCAAGGGGGAAAUCUGCCCCAUGAGCCAAUCACCUCCCACCAGGCCCCACUUCCAAUAUUGAAGAUUACAAUUCAACAUGUGAUUUGGGCAGGGACACACAUCCAAGCCAUAUCAAUAACUCAACUAAUCCAAACUGGAGGGGCAAACAAGCAGCUGGGGCCCUACACUGAUCCUCAGUUGCCCAACUUCUUUGGGCUUUGAUAAAAACAGAUGCAUUUCUGACAUCAUAUUUUUUUUUAAUUAAGAUUUUCUAGAGAGACAGGGUCUCAUGAUAUUGUUUAGGCUGGUCUCUAGCUCCUGGCCUCAAGCAAUUCUUCCACGUUGGCCUCCCAAAGUGCUGGGAUUACAAACGUGAGCCACUGUGCCUGGCCUGUCAUCAUAAUUUAAAUGGAGAAAACAUUAUUUUAAAUCACUUGGUCCUGAAAAAUCUUAAUGGUUUGGUUGAUUAUAUACAAAUAUAUGCUUGUGCAUUCUUUGUGCUAUUUCUAGUAGUUUUGCUUACAGGUUUAUUUCAUACAGCUGUUAGUGUCAUUUUUCCAGUACUAAAAAAUAUCCUAACAGCAGUAAUACACCACACAAUUAAAAUGACCACACACACACACACACAGACACGCACAGGCACAUAUCUCUCUAUUGUUAAUGGUCUAGUAGUCAGAUUCAAAAUGGAGAAAUUUGUUGUAAAGAUAUUAACACACAAUGGUCUUUAUAGAUCAUUGCUUCCAAAGAUGCACUAAAAGUUGAAAUUGUGUUCAUUUUCUGGGAAAAUUAAUAUGUAACAUUCUGAAAGUCUGCAUCUUUCAUUGGUCCUUCUAAUAGGCUCACGGUUUCAUUUCCUUUGUUUUGCUCAAGUCAGUAAUGCAAAUGUUAAGCUCCCUCUAUUAGUGCCCCUUAAAAGUAAGUUGAUACUUUGGAGCUCUUAAGUGGACCUAAAUGGUUUUUCAGGCAUUAUCAUUUCUGUUUUCCACUAGCCAGGGAGACCCUAAGGGUGGGGAGACAUGGCUUCUUUGUAACCCUCACAAUGCCCGUACAGUCCAUUAUGGGCUUAGUAGGAUUUUUUGUUAUUAACUUGGGAAUGCCGUAGUUGUCUGUAGAAGUGAACAGGAAAUAAACAUUGUCUACAUGUGGAAAUGAUGCAAAUUUUAAACUCUUAUAGUACACUUUUCAAGCCAAUUUUAAGUUGAGACUCAGAGUGUAGAAAAGUAAGCCUUCUAUAAUGUAUCUCUGAGCAGGGCCAUUUUACUUAAAAUUAGUGAAGUUGUCUCCUUGACCUGUUGAAGACUCAAUGAAAAUAAAUUAGAGCUGAGCUUUAAACCAUUCAUUCCUUCCCACUUCCCAUGUUUCUAAUUGUUUUGGGUCCUGAUUUAGAGAAAGCCAAUAAAAUAUUAUGGCUUUCUAAGCUAUCAAUUAAUGGACAAUUUAGAAAAUGCUUAUGGGUUGUCUUCCAUCUCCAAACUUGGUGGAGCAAAUUGAAAUGGAUGACUCAUGUCUAGGGGAUCAAGCAUGUUAAAUCAAUGAACAUGUUUGCUUGAAUCUCAUCUCCUAAUGAGCUGAAACAGAUAGAACAUUUCUCAUGCAUCCAGAUGGAAUUAUUUUGGAAAGUAAACUAAUGCACAUGCCCACACAAAAUUCCUCUGCUAUCUCUAGCCAGAUUCUGUUAGCUGUUCACCAAGAUGAUUUACCAACAAUAUGAGGUUGGGCUGCUUCUUUAUAUUAUUGGCUCCACAGGAAUUCUUCCAGAAGACAAUAUUUUUUCUAUUUUGUUUUGUUCAAUUUAAUAAUAUCAUGUACAAUAUUUUCUAGAUGCUGUGAGUUUGUAUGUGUAUCUUGAAUGUGGGGGAGGUUUAGGUUUUAUGACAGUAAGUGGAAUUCACUUAUUAAGGUUAUUUGACUUAGAAUUGAUUAUUUAUGCCAAUACUUGCUAAUAUUUAAAAUUAUUUCACUGUUCAUUGCCCUUACUAUGUAAAACUCUCUUGAAAGUCACUAAGAAAAAACAUAAACAACUCAAAAUAAAAAAGUAAAUUGGAAUAACUUUUGGAGGUCAGUUUUCCAAUGUGUAUCAAAAGCCCUAAAAAAUAUACUUCCCGUG
rnacentral:lncRNA from 10 species